UGCCCGUUGGCCCAGCGGUCAAGGCGUCUGACUGUUAUGAACAGAAAAAUCAGAAGAUCCCUGGUUCGAUCCCAGGACGGGCAG